rnacentral:rRNA from 1 species
AAUGAACGCUGGCGGCAGGCCUAACACAUGCAAGUCGAACGAGUGGCGGACGGGUGAGUAAUGUCUGGGAAACUGCCUGAAGGAGGGGGAUAACUACUGGAAACGGUAGUUAAUACCGAAUACCAUGAGAUGUGCCCAGAUGGGAUAAGCUUGUUGGUGGGGUAACGGCUCACCAAGGCGACGAUACCGAGCUGGUCUGAGAGGAUGACCAUCCACACUGGAACUGCGACACGGUCCAGACUCCUACGCGAGGCAGCAGUGGGGAAUAGUGCACAAUGGGCGCAAGCCUGAUACAGCCAGGCCACGUGUAUGAAGAAGGCCUUCGGGUUGUAAAGUACUUUCAGCGGGGAGGCGGUACCCGCAGAAGAAGCACCGGCUAACUCCGUGCCAGCAGCCGCGGUAAUUC